GCUCAAAUUUGAAAUCUGGGUCCUUUGGGCCUCGAGUUGUAAUUUGUAGAGGAUGCUUUGGGGUGGGUACCGGCAUAAGUCCCUUGGAACAGGGCGUCACAGAGGGUGAGAAUCCCGUACGUGGCUGGCGGCCUUCCCCGUGUAAAGCUCCUUCGACGAGUCGAGUUGUUUGGGAAUGCAGCUCUAAAUGGGAGGUAAAUUUCUUCUAAAGCUAAAUACCGGCCAGAGACCGAUAGCGCACAAGUAGAGUGAUCGAAAGAUGAAAAGCACUUUGGAAAGAGAGUCAAAAAGUACGUGAAAUUGUUGAAAGGGAAGCGCUCGCGACCAGACUCGCACGCGGAUGCUCAGCAGGCCUUCUCGGCCUGUGCACUCUUCCGCGUUCGGGCCAGCAUCGGUUUGGGCGGUCGGACAAAGGUGGUUGGAACGUGGCUCCCCUCGGGGAGUGUUAUAGCCUCCCACGCAAUGCGGCCUGCCCGGACCGAGGACCGCGCUUCGGCUAGGAUGCUGGCGUAAUGGUCGUGAGCGGCCCGUCUUGAAACACGGACCAAGGAGUCUAACAUCUAUGCGAGUGUUUGGGUGUCAAACCCGCACGCGUAAUGAAAGUGAACGGAGGUGGGAACCCCUCGCGGGGUGCACCAUCGACCGAUCCUGAUGUCUUCGGAAGGAUUUGAGUAAGAGCAUAGCUGUUGGGACCCGAAAAACGGUGAACUAUUCCUAGAUAGGGUGAAGCCAGAGGAAACUCUGGUGGAGGCUCGCAGCGGUUCUGACGUGCAAAUCGAUCGUCAAAUCUGGGUAUAGGGGCGAAAGACUAAU
rnacentral:rRNA from 1 species